rnacentral:rRNA from 1 species
UACAGAGGGUGCGAGCGUUAAUCGGAAUUACUGGGCGUAAAGGGCGCGUAGGUGGUUUAUUAAGAUGGAUGUGAAAGCCCUGGGCUUAACCUAGGAACGGCAUCGAUGACUGAUAAGCUGGAGUAGUGUAGAGGGCGGCGGAAUUUCCGGUGUAGCGGUGAAAUGCGUAGAGAUCGGAAGGAACACCAGUGGCGAAGGCGGCCGCCUGGGCAACUACUGACACUGAGGCGCGAAAGCGUGGGGAGCAAACAGG